UACGGGGGGGGCAAGCGUUGUUCGGAAUUACUGGGCGUAAAGGGCUCGUAGGUGGCCAACUAAGUCAGACGUGAAAUCCCUCGGCUUAACCGGGGAACUGCGUCUGAUACUGGAUGGCUUGAGUUCGGGAGAGGGAUGCGGAAUUCCAGGUGUAGCGGUGAAAUGCGUAGAGAUCCGGAGGAACACCAGUGGCGAAGGCGACACGCUGGGCCGUACCUGACACUGAUACGCGACAGCAUGGGGAGCGAACGGG
rnacentral:rRNA from 1 species